CUGACAUUAGAUACCCCUGUAGUCCCAGCCGUAAACUAUGCGCGUUAGGUGUACUGGUGACCACGAGUCGACCGGGGUGCCGAAGGGAAACCGUGAAACGUGCCGCCUGGGAAGUACGGUCGCAAGGCUAGAAACUUAAAGGAAUUGGCGGGGGAGCACCACAACGGGUGGAGCCUGCGGUUUAAUUGGACUCAACGCCGGAAAUCUCACCGGAUAGGACAGACAUAUGAUAGUCGGGCUGAAGACUCUACUUGAUGAUCUG
rnacentral:rRNA from 1 species